rnacentral:lncRNA from 1 species
GUGCAAGUGAAUCAAUAUUGAAGCCAAAAAUAAGCCAUAUAUAUGCAGGCAACAGUAUUUCUACUUUAUAUGAGUUUGCUUUAUGUUUUGUUAGUUUUUGAGGUAAAAGCUGACAUUUGUCUGUUGUAAAGUGUAUUACCAUAAAAGAUUGGAUGGUCAAUACCUGAAUGUGUAAGAUGACUAUGUACACUGUAGGAGUGAAAUUAUUAUAAUGUAAACGCCCAUAAAUACAAUUCAAGAAUAACUGAAUCAACUCAGGCAAACGCAAAUUAAAAGAAUGACUUUGAAACCC